rnacentral:SRP_RNA from 1 species
GUUGGGUGUGGUGGCGCACACCUGUAGUCCCAGCUACUUGGGAGGCUGAGGCAGGAGAAUUGCUUGAACCCAGGAGGUGGAGGUUGCAGUGAGUGGAGAUUGUACCACUGCACUCCAGCCUGGGUGACAGAGUGAGACUGUGUCUCAA